AUGAACGCUGGUGGCGUGCCUAAUACAUGCAAGUCGAGCGAACAGAUCAGGAGCUUGCUCCUUUGACGUUAGCGGCGGACGGGUGAGUAACACGUGGGUAACCUACCUAUAAGACUGGGAUAACUUCGGGAAACCGGAGCUAAUACCGGAUAACAUUUGGAACCGCAUGGUUCUAAAGUGAAAGAUGGUUUUGCUAUCACUUAUAGAUGGACCCGCGCCGUAUUAGCUAGUUGGUAAGGUAACGGCUUACCAAGGCGACGAUACGUAGCCGACCUGAGAGGGUGAUCGGCCACACUGGAACUGAGACACGGUCCAGACUCCUACGGGAGGCAGCAGUAGGGAAUCUUCCGCAAUGGGCGAAAGCCUGACGGAGCAACGCCGCGUGAGUGAUGAAGGGUUUCGGCUCGUAAAACUCUGUUAUUAGGGAAGAACAAAUGUGUAAGUAACUGUGCACGUCUUGACGGUACCUAAUCAGAAAGCCACGGCUAACUACGUG
rnacentral:rRNA from 1 species